GAUGAACGCUGGCGGCGUGCCUAAUACAUGCAAGUCGAGCGAACAGAUGAGGAGCUUGCUCCCCUGACGUUAGCGGCGGACGGGUGAGUAACACGUGGAUAACCUACCUAUAAGACUGGGAUAACUUCGGGAAACCGGAGCUAAUACCGGAUAAUAUAUUGAACCGCAUGGUUCAAUAGUGAAAGACGGUUUUGCUGUCACUUAUAGAUGGAUCCGCGCCGCAUUAGCUAGUUGGUAAGGUAACGGCUUACCAAGGCAACGAUGCGUAGCCGACCUGAGAGGGUGAUCGGCCACACUGGAACUGAGACACGGUCCAGACUCCUACGGGAGGCAGCAAUAGGGAAUCUUCCGCAAUGGGCGAAAGCCUGACGGAGCAACGCCGCGUGAGUGAUGAAGGUCUUCGGAUCGUAAAACUCUGUUAUUAGGGAAGAACAAAUGUGUAAGUAACUAUGCACGUCUUGACGGUACCUAAUCAGAAAGCCACGGCUAACUACGUG
rnacentral:rRNA from 1 species